AAGCUCGUAGUUGAAUUUCGAGCUUGACAAACGGUCUUGGCUCUGCCUAGUACUAUUCUGUUGAGCUCUUCCUUCUAGGGAACUAGAGUGCCUUUAAUUGGGUGUUUUAGGGAACUAGGGCUUUUACUGUGAAAAAACUUAGAGUGUUUAAAGCAGGCUUACGCUUGAAUACAUUAGCAUGGAAUAAUAGAAUAGGACUUUGGUUCUAUUUUGUUGGUUUCUAGGACCAAAGUAAUGAUUAAUAGGGAUAGUUGGG
rnacentral:rRNA from 1 species